AUUGAACGCUGGCGGCAGGCCUAACACAUGCAAGUCGGACGGUAGCACAGAGAGCUUGCUCUUGGGUGACGAGUGGCGGACGGGUGAGUAAUGUCUGGGGAUCUGCCCGAUAGAGGGGGAUAACCACUGGAAACGGUGGCUAAUACCGCAUAACGUCGCAAGACCAAAGAGGGGGACCUUCGGGCCUCUCACUAUCGGAUGAACCCAGAUGGGAUUAGCUAGUAGGCGGGGUAAUGGCCCACCUAGGCGACGAUCCCUAGCUGGUCUGAGAGGAUGACCAGACACACUGGAACUGAGACACGGUCCAGACUCCUACGGGAGGCAGCAGUGGGGAAUAUUGCACAAGGGGCGCAAGCCUGAUGCAGCCAUGCCGCGUGUAUGAAGAAGGCCUUCGGGUUGUAAAGUACUUUCAGCGGGGAGGAAGGCGGUGAGGUUAAUAACCUUGCCGAUUGACGUUACCCGCAGAAGAAGCACCGGCUAACUCCGUGCCAGCCGCCGCGGUAA
rnacentral:rRNA from 1 species